rnacentral:rRNA from 1 species
UACGUAGGGUGCGAGCGUUAAUCGGAAUUACUGGGCGUAAAGCGUGCGCAGGCGGUUCGCUGUGUCCUGUGUGAAAGCCCCGGGCUUAACCUGGGAAUGGCAUAGGAAACUGGCGGGCUGGAGUGUGGCAGAGGGGGGUGGAAUUCCGCGUGUAGCAGUGAAAUGCGUAGAGAUGCGGAGGAACACCGAUGGCGAAGGCAGCCCCCUGGGCUAACACUGACGCUCAGGCACGAAAGCGUGGGGAGCGAACAGG